AGUGAACGCUGGCGGUAGGCCUAACACAUGCAAGUCGAACGGCAGCACAGUAAGAGCUUGCUCUUACGGGUGGCGAGUGGCGGACGGGUGAGGAAUACAUCGGAAUCUACUUUUUCGUGGGGGAUAACGUAGGGAAACUUACGCUAAUACCGCAUACGACCUACGGGUGAAAGCAGGGGAUCUUCGGACCUUGCGCGUUUGAAUGAGCCGAUGUCGGAUUAGCUAGUUGGCGGGGUAAAGUCCCACCAAGGCGACGAUCCGUAGCUGGUCUGAGAGGAUGAUCAGCCACACUGGAACUGAGACACGGUCCAGACUACUACGGGGGGCAGCAGUGGGGAAUAUUGGACAAUGGGCGCAAGCAUGAUCCAGCAAUACCGCGUGGGUGAAGAAGGCCUUCGGGUUGUAAAGCCCUUUUGUUGGGAAAGAAAAGCAGCAGGUUAAUACCCCGCUGUUCUGACGGUACCCAAAGAAUAAGCACCGGCUAACUUCGUG
rnacentral:rRNA from 1 species